GUCUACGGCCAUACCACCCUGAACGUGCCCAAUCUCAUCUGAUCUCGGAAGCUAAGCAGGUCAGGCCUGGUUAGUACUUGAAUGGGAGAAAAUCAGUGGGGCUGCUC
rnacentral:rRNA from 1 species